rnacentral:rRNA from 1 species
AAUCAACGCUGGCGGCGUGCCUCAGACAUGCAAGUCGAACGCGAAAGGUUCCUUCGGGAACCGAGUAGAGUGGCGCACGGGUGAGUAACACGUAGGUAAUUUGCCUUUGGGUGGGGAAUAACUCAGGGAAACUUGAGCUAAUACCGCAUAAUGCAGCGGCUCGACAUCGAGACAGUUGUUAAAGCGGGGGAGUCGCAAGACCUCGCGCCUAAAGAAGAAGCCUGCGGCAGAUUAGCUAGUUGGUAGGGUAAUGGCCUACCAAGGCAACGAUCUGUAACCGGCCUGAGAGGGCGGGUCGGUCACACUGACACUGACAUACGGUCAGACUCCUACGGGAGGCAGCAGUCGGG